rnacentral:rRNA from 2 species
CCGCGUGAGUGAAGAAGGGUUUCGGCUCGUAAAGCUCUGUUGUUAAAGAAGAACACGUAUGAGAGUAACUGUUCAUACGUUGACGGUAUUUAACCAGAAAGUCACGGCUAACUACGUGCCAGCAGCCGCGGUAAUACGUAGGUGGCAAGCGUUAUCCGGAUUUAUUGGGCGUAAAGAGAGUGCAGGCGGUUUUCUAAGUCUGAUGUGAAAGCCUUCGGCUUAACCGGAGAAGUGCAUCGGAAACUGGAUAACUUGAGUGCAGAAGAGGGUAGUGGAACUCCAUGUGUAGCGGUGGAAUGCGUAGAUAUAUGGAAGAACACCAGUGGCGAAGGCGGCUACCUGGUCUGCAACUGACGCUGAGACUCGAAAGCAUGGGUAGCGAACAGGAUUAGAUACCCUGGUAGUCCAUGCCGUAAACGAUGAGUGCUAGGUGUUGGAGGGUUUCCGCCCUUCAGUGCCGGAGCUAACGCAUUAAGCACUCCGCCUGGGGAGUACGACCGCAAGGUUGAAACUCAAAGGAAUUGACGGGGGCCCGCACAAGCGGUGGAGCAUGUGGUUUAAUUCGAAGCUACGCGAAGAACCUUACCAGGUCUUGACAUCUUGCGCCAACCCUAGAGAUAGGGCGUUUCCUUCGGGAACGCAAUGACAGGUGGUGCAUGGUCGUCGUCAGCUCGUGUCGUGAGAUGUUGGGUUAAGUCCCGCAACGAGCGCAACCCUUGUUACUAGUUGCCAGCAUUAAGUUGGGCACUCUAGUGAGACUGCCGGUGACAAACCGGAGGAAGGUGGGGACGACGUCAGAUCAUCAUGCCCCUUAUGACCUGGGCUACACACGUGCUACAAUGGACGGUACAACGAGUCGCGAACUCGCGAGGGCAAGCAAAUCUCUUAAAACCGUUCUCAGUUCGGACUGCAGGCUGCAACUCGCCUGCACGAAGUCGGAAUCGCUAGUAAUCGCGGAUCAGCAUGCCGCGGUGAAUACGUUCCCGGGCCUUGUACACACCGCCCGUCACACCAUGAGAGUUUGUAACACCCAAAGUCGGUGGGGUAACCUUUUAGGAGC